rnacentral:lncRNA from 1 species
GAGGUUGCUUCUGGCUCAUCAGCCAUCGUUGAUGUGCCACAGACCUGAGGGCACAUGACCCAGGAAUGUGCAUCCAAAGAUAAUACUACCUUCAGAGAACUCUACUUAUAGGCUGUGGUUUUUCAAGAAAAAGGAAAAGAUUCAUAAUUCAUUGAGCUCUUUCCUUGUGAGAAGAAAGGCCACUCUUUUGUGUGCUGAAGUUGGACAGCGGUUCCCAAGGAAGCUGAAUUCUAGCUGUUUAUUGUUAUUGGGUUUUGCACUAUGCCCUUUAUGUUGUCAUUAAUCAAUAAAUAUGUGUGGAACAAAUGAUUAACUAGA